rnacentral:rRNA from 1 species
CAGGGAAUAUUAUACAAUGGGCGAAAGCCUGAUACAGCGACGCCGCGUGAAGGAUGAAGACCCUAGGGUUGUAAACUUCUUUUCUCAGGGAAGAACUAUGACGGUACCUGAGGAAUAAGUCACGGCUAACUACGUG